GCCUUUGUGGUGUAACGGUUAGAACACUCGGCAGUAAUUCGAGAGGACCAGGUUCGAGUCCCGGCCAGGGCA
rnacentral:tRNA from 1 species